ACCACGACUUCUCGACAAUGGAUAUCUCGGCU
rnacentral:rRNA from 1 species